GACAACCUACCUAUCAGAGGGGAAUAACCCGGCGAAAGUCGGACUAAUACCGCAUAAAACAGGGGCACCGCAUGGUGAUAUUUGUUAAAGAAAUUCGCUGAUAGAUGGGCAUGCGUUCCAUUAGGUAGUUGGUGAGGUAACGGCUCACCAAGCCGACGAUGGAUAGGGGAACUGAGAGGUUGGUCCCCCACACUGGUACUGAGACACGGACCAGACUCCUACGGGAGGCAGCAGUGAGGAAUAUUGGUCAAUGGGCGGGAGCCUGAACCAGCCAAGUCGCGUGAAAAGGAAGAAGGAUCUAUGGUUCGUAAACUUCUUUUGCAGGGGAAUAAAGUGCAGGACGUGUCCUGUUUUGUAUGUACCCUGAGAAUAAGGAUCGGCUAACUCCGUGCCAGCCGCUGC
rnacentral:rRNA from 1 species